CCGGCGACCGGCGCACGGGUGAGUAACACGUAUGCAACCUGCCCUCUUCAGGGGGACAACCUUCCGAAAGGGAGGCUAAUCCCGCGUAUAUCGGUUUCGGGCAUCCGAGAUCGAGGAAAGAUUCAUCGGAAGAGGAUGGGCAUGCGGCGCAUUAGCUAGACGGCGGGGUAACGGCCCACCGUGGCGACGAUGCGCAGGGGUUCUGAGAGGAAGGUCCCCCACACUGGUACUGAGACACGGACCAGACUCCUACGGAAGGCAGCAG
rnacentral:rRNA from 1 species